UACGGGGGGGGCAAGCGUUGUUCGGAAUUACUGGGCGUAAAGGGCUCGUAGGCGGCCAACUAAGUCGGACGUGAAAUCCCCAGGCUCAACCUGGGAACUGCGUCCGAUACUGGAUGGCUUGAAUUCGGGAGAGGGAUGCAGAAUUCCAGGUGUAGCGGUGAAAUGCGUAGAUAUCUGGAGGAAUACCGGUGGCGAAGGCGGCAUCCUGGACCGACAUUGACGCUGAGGAGCGAAAGCUAGGGGAGCAAGCGGG
rnacentral:rRNA from 1 species